AAGUAGCGGAUUAAUGUUAUCGCUGAGACGACUUCUAUUUGUAAUCAAUCAUCUUUAUCUACCAGCUAUCUACCAGCAAAAUAUAUAAAACCAAUCCAUUACGACAUCAAGCUUAUAUCAUAUAUUGAAGGAUAUAUUUUCUAUGGAGAAUACAAUAUCAGCAUAAGCAUUCCUAACAAAACGCAACACAUAUUUCUACAUUCAGAAAAAUUAAGUAUUAAAAAUAUAGUUUUGUUUACAAAUGUAGCAAAAUAUGAUGAGAAUGAUAAAGAUACAGUUUAUAAACCAACAUAUAAUAUUGAAGAAGACAUACUUGAUAUUUUUUUUAUCAACGAGGUAUCACCAGGAAAUUACAUUUUAAAUAUAAAAUAUUAUGGUACUGCUAAUGAAGUCUUUAGUAUUUUCGACGUGAAAAAAAAAAUUGCUAUGGUAGCUGCUACUCAUUUCCAUAUAAUAAGCAGCCGACAAUUGUCUUCAAGUUGGGAUCAACAGAAUUUAUUCCAUGAAGCAACCUUUAACAUAUCUAUAGGAUGUAAUCAAUGUACGGCUUUGUCAAAUAUGCCAUUGCGAUAUACGGAAAAAAAAAUGAAUCUGGAUUUCACAUGGAAUUUGCAAGAAAUGUAAUUAAAAAUAUCACGUUGUGGUUUAAAAAUGAAUGGAAACAGCGUCCCAACAAUAUUUCGAAAGUGACUCAUGUUGCAAUUCCAAAUUUCCAUGACAAUGACGUAAUCGUUUUUGGAUUGGUUUUUU